AGGCCGAAAGGCGUAGUCGAUGGAAAUCAGGCUAAUAUUCCUGAACUUUUUACAACUGCGAUGGGGUGACGGAGAAGGUUAGGUCAGCCGGGUGUUGGAAGUCCCGGUUCAAGCGUGUAGGCAGAUCUCUUAGGCAAAUCCGGGAGGUUAAUGCUGAGACGUGAUGUCGAGGCCCCAUGUGGGCCGAAGUGAUUGAUACCAAGCUUCCAGGAAAAGCCUCUAAGCUUCAGGUUGUAGAAAUUCGUACCCUAAACCAACACAGGUGGGCGAGGAGAGUAUCCUAAGGCGCAUGAGACAACUCGGGUGAAGGAACUCGGCAAAAUAGUACCGUAACUUCGGGAUAAGGUACGCCUCUAGUAUGUGAUGGACUUCGCGUCCUGAGCAGAUGGAGGCCGCAGUGAAGAGGGGGUGGCGACUGUUUAUCAAAAACACAGCACUCUGCAAA
rnacentral:rRNA from 1 species